rnacentral:rRNA from 1 species
UACGUAGGGGGCAAGCGUUGUCCGGAUUUAUUGGGCGUAAAGAGCUCGUAGGCGGUUUGGUAAGUCUGGUGUGAAAUCUCCACGCUCAACGUGGAGGGGCCACCCGAUACUGCCAUGACUGGAGUCCGGUAGAGGAGUGUGGAAUUCCCGGUGUAGCGGUGAAAUGCGCAGAUAUCAGGAGGAACACCGAUGGCGAAGGCAGGUCUCUGGGCAUUAACUGACGCUGAGGAGCGAAAGCAUGGGGAGCGAACAGG